rnacentral:rRNA from 1 species
CUUCACCUACGGGAGGCAGCAGUGAGGAAUAUUGGUCAAUGGUCGGGAGACUGAACCAGCCAAGCCGCGUGAGGGAGGAAGGUACAGAGUAUCGUAAACCUCUUUUGUCAGGGAACAAAGACUGGGACGCGUCCCCGGAUGAGUGUACCUGAAGAAAAAGCAUCGGCUAACUCCGUGCCAGCAGCCGCGGUAAUACGGAGGAUGCGAGCGUUAUCCGGAUUUAUUGGGUUUAAAGGGUGCGUAGACGGGAAAACAAGUUAGUUGUGAAAUCCCUCGGCUUAACUGCGGAACUGCAACUAAAACUA